rnacentral:rRNA from 1 species
CACGCCGUAAACGAUGAAUGCUAGGUGUCGGGGGUCACACCUCGGUGCCGCAGUUAACACAUUAAGCAUUCCGCCUGGGGAGUACGCGCGCAAGCGUGAAACUCAAAGGAAUUGACGGGG